GACGAACGCUGGCGGCGUGCUUAACACAUGCAAGUCGAACGGAAAGGCCCUGCUUUUGUGGGGUGCUCGAGUGGCGAACGGGUGAGUAACACGUGAGUAACCUGCCCUUGACUUUGGGAUAACUUCAGGAAACUGGGGCUAAUACCGGAUAGGAGCUCCUGCUGCAUGGUGGGGGUUGGAAAGUUUCGGCGGUUGGGGAUGGACUCGCGGCUUAUCAGCUUGUUGGUGGGGUAGUGGCAUACCAAGGCUUUGACGGGUAGCCGGCCUGAGAGGGUGACCGGCCACAUGAGUACUGAGGUACGGCCCAGACUCCUACGGGAGGCAACAGUGGGGAGUAUUGCACAAUGAGCGGAAGCCUGAUGCAGCAACGCCGCGUGCGGGAUGACGGCCUUCGGGGUGUAAACCGCUGUCGCCUGUGACGAAGCGUGAGUGACGGUAAUGGGUAAAGAAGCACCGGCUAACUACGUG
rnacentral:rRNA from 1 species